rnacentral:tRNA from 1 species
GGAGGCUUUGCGGCGAUAGGUUUCCCCCUGACACGGGGAAGGUCACAGGUUCAAUCCCUGUCGCGCCCACCA